AUCCUUUAACUGCCGACGUGGUCUAAACGCGCCACUAACAACGAGGUUACGUCUGAGAGACGUAGAUAAUUGAAAAAUCAAUUAAAAAUAAAGUAUUCGUUUUAUUUCAUUUAUAACAACCCAUAAAAAUACUAUAGUUAAAUGGCUUAUAAUAUAUGGAUAGUCAAUAAAACAAUUAGUUAAUUUAACAAGAAAUCAGCCUGUUUUCAUGAGACCCCAAGUUUUAUUUGAACAUUUUUAGGAACUUUUAUUAGACAUAUAUAUUUUUUUAUUUAUACACAUAUCAGUAGAUUUUUUUAAAUAAUUUUACUCUUUUAUAACUAAUAAAAUAAAAUAAAAAAGAAUCAGCACAAAAACUUAACGAAAAAAAAAACUGACACACAAUCAAGUUAGCAUAUUUAUGGCUUGCAGCUAUUGCAUAUUUGUAGGAAACAUGUAAGGCACAUGGGUUUCUUGCAGAGACAACAUGAAUUUUUUGUCUACGCUACGGUAUGCUCUGGCCGGAGUCGGUGAGGGCAUAUAUAUCUGUAGGGCCAAUAACUCGUUCAAUGGAACAACGUAGUUCUCGUGGUGGUCUGAUAUUUCAUCCCCUCCCACGUCCUGUCUCCUAUCUCUCAGUUUCCUAUGAUUAUCAAUUGCUUGAUUUUUAUAAUCACUAGGUAGUGUCCUCUCUUUCGACCCUGAACUGCCACUUUCAGACAUUCCGUAGGAAAAAAUCAUAUGGUUAUUACGAUGUGACGACCUCAAGACACUAAGGUAGUACAUGCAUUUACAACGUGGUGACGACCAAGAGACGUAUCAAGUUUGGAACAUAAACACCGUACUUACGUCUGUGAGACGUCUCGAGCUCCGCAUAGAACACCUGUGCAAGCGACGUAAGCGGGACGCUGACGGCACGUAAAACACGCGGGGGGAGGAGGGUACUGAGCCGCGGAACCUUGGUAACGCUUCAGGUGAAAAAAUAUUGACAAAAUAAAAACGCGGCCGUCUGUGAGACGUAUAGGUCGGCAGUUAAAGGUUAUUU